rnacentral:rRNA from 1 species
AUUGAACGCUGGCGGCAGGCCUAACACAUGCAAGUCGAACGAGUGGCGGACGGGUGAGUAAUGUCUGGGAAACUGCCCGAUGGAGGGGGAUAACUACUGGAAACGGUCGCUAAUACCGCAUACCAUCGGAUGUGCCCAGAUGGGAUUAGCUAGUAGGUGGGGUAACGGCUCACCUAGGCGACGCUCCCUAGCUGGUCUGAGAGGAUGACCAGCCACACUGGAACGGAGAAACGGUCCAGACUCCUACGGGAGGCAGCAGUGGGGAAUAUUGCACAAGGGGCGCAAGCCUGAGGCAGCCAGGCCGCGUGUAUGAAGAAGGCCUUCGGGUGGUAAAGUACUUUCAGCGAGGAGGCGUUACUCGCAGAAGAAGCACCGGCUAACUCCGUGCCAGCAGCCGCGGUAAUAC